CAGUCGAACGGAGAAAUGAUUUCGGUUAUUUUCUUAGUGGCGGACGGGUGAGUAACACGUGAGGAACCUGCCUCUGAGAGUGGGAUAGCUUCUGGAAACGGAUGGUAAUACCGCAUAACAUAGCGAAACCGCAUGAUUUUGCUAUCAAAGUAUUUCGCUCAGAGAUGGCCUCGCGUCUGAUUAGAUAGUUGGUGAGGUAACGGCUCACCAAGUCGACGAUCAGUAGCCGGACUGAGAGGUUGAACGGCCACAUUGGGACUGAGACACGGCCCAGACUCCUACGGGAGGCAGCAGUGGGGGAUAUUGCACAAUGGGGGAAACCCUGAUGCAGCGAUGCCGCGUGGAGGAAGAAGGUCUUCGGAUUGUAAACUCCUGUCGUAAGGGAAGAGGAAGGACUGUACCUUACAAGAAAGCUCCGGCUAACUACGUGCCAGCAGCCGCGGUAAUACGUAGGGAGCGAGCGUUGUCCGGAAUGACUGGGUGUAAAGGGAGCGUAGGCGGGAUGGCAAGUCAGAUGUGAAACCUGAGGGCUCAACCUUCAGACUGCAUUUGAAACUGCUGUUCUUGAGUGAAGUAGAGGUAAGCGGAAUUCCUGGUGUAGCGGUGAAAUGCGUAGAGAUCAGGAGGAACAUCGGUGGCGAAGGCGGCUUACUGGGCUUUUACUGACGCUGAGGCUCGAAAGCGUGNGGAGCAAACAGGAUUAGAUACCCNGGUAGUCCACGCUGUAAACGAUGAUUACUAGGUGUGGGGGGAUUGACCCCUUCCGUGC
rnacentral:rRNA from 1 species